rnacentral:rRNA from 1 species
UACGUAGGGUGCAAGCGUUAAUCGGAAUUACUGGGCGUAAAGCGUGCGCAGGCGGUUAUGCAAGACAGAUGUGAAAUCCCCGGGCUCAACCUGGGAACUGCAUUUGUGACUGCAUAGCUGGAGUGCGGCAGAGGGGGAUGGAAUUCCGCGUGUAGCAGUGAAAUGCGUAGAUAUGCGGAGGAACACUGAUGGCGAAGGCAAUCCCCUGGGCCUGCACUGACGCUCAUGCACGAAAGCGUGGGGAGCAAACAGG